AACGAACGCUGGCGGCAGGCUUAACACAUGCAAGUCGAACGCUCCGCAAGGAGAGUGGCAGACGGGUGAGUAACGCGUGGGAACGUACCUUUCAGUUCGGAAUAACUCAGGGAAACUUGUGCUAAUACCGGAUACGCUCGUAAGAGGAAAGAUUUAUCGCUGAAAGAUCGGCCCGCGUUGGAUUAGGUAGUUGGUGGGGUAAUGGCCUACCAAGGCGACGAUCCAUAGCUGGGCUGAGAGGAUGAUCAGCCACACUGGGACUGAGACACGGCCCAGACUCCUACGGGAGGCAGCAGUGGGGAAUAUUGGACAAUGGGCGAAAGCCUGAUCCAGCCAUGCCGCGUGAGUGAUGAAGGCCCUAGGGUUGUAAAGCUCUUUCACCGAUGAAGAUAAUGACGGUAGUCGGAGAAGAAGCCCCAGCUAACUUCGUGCCAGCAGCCGCCGUAA
rnacentral:rRNA from 1 species